rnacentral:rRNA from 1 species
UACGGGGGGUGCAAGCGUUAUUCGGAAUUAUUGGGCGUAAAGGGCGCGUAGGCGGUUGAAUAAGUCAGAUGUGAAAGCCCUUGGCUUAACCAAGGAAGUGCAUUUGAUACUAUUUGACUUGAGUAUGGGAGAGGGAAGUGGAAUUCCUGGUGUAGAGGUGAAAUUCGUAGAUAUCAGGAGGAACACCGGUGGCGAAAGCGACUUCCUGGACCAAUACUGACGCUGAGGCGCGAAAGCGUGGGGAGCGAACCGG